CUGAGGAGGAGAAGCAGGGGCAGGAGCGGUGAGGAAGAGGGGCAUUUGGUCGAGGUUGGGUCAGGUAAGGACACGGUGGUAGGCAAAGGCCAGGGGGCAGGUGGGGUGCCUGGGAGGUCCGUGGUCAGAGGAUGGGUGCUGGUGGGGCCUGGAGAUGGCGGUGCUGCCUCCACCCUCCUGAGCCUGGAGGCCUGACAAUUGCAUCCGAAAAAUCCACAGCCACCAUCGUGUCAGCAGCACGUUGACCAUGGCUCACGACAUGGGGACGGGCAUUCUUGCCGCUUCCUCAGAAUAUUAACGACGGUCCCAGCAGAAUGCCGGGCGCACGUAGGCCGGCACCCUCUCUCUCGUCUUUGGGCAGAACUCGAGUGCUGCUAGACCCUUGGCCCCGCUCACUGCGCUGGGCCGCACUGCACCCAUUUCCUCCCAGCAAGGGCGGUCCCUGGACUCCUCUGACCUGAACUGCUUCCGAGUUUGCUUCUCAGAACCAAGAGGGGCUGGCUCUGCGCCCUGCCUACCUGUCCAGGGGUGGGGGCUGCCCUUUGAAGCUAUCAAUCUGGGUUUUAAGUGUGGAUUCAUUAUUGACAACACCAUGACGUUAUGCUGACAUGAAUUAUUUGUAUGUUUUUCAAAUUGUGCUGUGAUAACCCUGGCUGUCUUCCUGCUCCCAUAGUGGAUAAAAGCGUCCGAAAGAAUGCCGCCAUCUCUCUUCUCCCCACA
rnacentral:lncRNA from 1 species